rnacentral:rRNA from 1 species
GACGAACGCUGGCGGCGUGCUUAACACAUGCAAGUCGAACGGAAAGGCCCUGCUUUUGUGGGGUGCUCGAGUGGCGAACGGGUGAGUAACACGUGAGUAACCUGCCCUUGACUUUGGGAUAACUUCAGGAAACUGGGGCUAAUACCGGAUAGGAGCUCCUGCUGCAUGGUGGGGGUUGGAAAGUUUCGGCGGUUGGGGAUGGACUCGCGGCUUAUCAGCUUGUUGGUGGGGUAGUGGCUUACCAAGGCUUUGACGGGUAGCCGGCCUGAGAGGGUGACCGGCCACAAUGGGACUGAGAAACGGCCCAGACUCCUACGGGAGGAAGCAGUGGGGAAGAUUGCACAAUGGGCGGAAGCCUGAUGCAGCAACGCCGCGUGCGGGAUGACGGCCUUCGGGUUGUAAACCGCUUUCGCCUGUGACGAAGCGUGAGUGACGGUAAUGGGUAAAGAAGCACCGGCUAACUACGUG